UCACUUCAGCAUUGUAUACACUAAAAUUCGGAUGAUACAGAGAGGAUUAGCAUGGCCUCUGCACAAGAAUGACCAUGCCAAUUUGUGAAGCAUUCCAUAUUUUU
ensembl:snRNA U6 U6 spliceosomal RNA